UAGGGAAUCUUCCACAAUGGGCGAAAGGCCUGAUGGAGCAACGCCGCGUGUGUGAUGAAGGGUUUCGGCUCGUAAAACACUGUUGUAAGAGAAGAAUGACAUUGAGAGUAACUGUUCAAUGUGUGACGGUAUCUUACCAGAAAGGAACGGCUAAAUACGUGCCAG
rnacentral:rRNA from 1 species